GAUGCUGCCUUCUUUCAUAAAGACUUAGCAAAUAAUUCAAGUAUUAAGAUGUUUUGAUCCACGUGUUCCUGUCCGGUUGGUCCACGUAUAUUGGGCCAAAUCAAGGGCAACAGACAUAAAAAUGCAUUCUGAAUUCUAAAAUAACAGCAUACAUAAUUAUUUAAAUAUCUAUAAAUAAUUUUCUAUAAUUAAAUCAUAAUUAACUGCUAAUUUCCAAAUUAAACUAAGUGGUCUUUACAUAUAUAUAAUAACAACAAAUAAAAAUAAAAACAUAUAGCUUGCUAAUAAAAUUAUAUGUCAUGUCAAUAAAAGUACAAUGGAAAAUAAAACUUAAAUAUUAUUUAAAAAAAAUAAUAUACUGUAUAAUAUAGAUAUACCAUAAUCUUUAAGUAAUUUACUUCUAAUUCUAAAAAAAUAUGAAAAAUAAAUUAUUGAUUUUUUUAUAUGGCAAAAAAUAAUAUAAAUAAUAAAUAGUGUAAAAAGAUCAUUUUUUACAAAUUUUAAAAUGAUAACAUUUAGUUACAUAAUACUAUGAUUUUAGAUCAUUUCUAUAAUUUUCAAUAGAAAAAUGACAGUAUUUUGGAAUUUUUACACAACAUACUGAAAUUUUUAAUUUUUUUCUUUUUUACUUUGGGGUAAUUUUUUUUUUUUCAAAAAUACUGCAUACUAUGUUAAGUGUUAUUGUUGUUCCACAUUUAUUUUUAAGUAUUAUACUGUUGUUUUUUAAUUAUUCUAUUUUGUUAUUUUAUAGUUGUUUUAUAAAAAAAACAGUAUUUUUGUAAAAAAUAAAAUUGUAAACUUUUACUAAAAAUUUACUAUUUGUUAUAAAAACCCGAAGUAUUUUUGUAAAUAAAAUACAUUCUAAUAAAAAAGGGAUUAUUUCACAAAAACAUAAAAACAACAAAAAAAUUACAUAAACACGGUUUCACAGAAUUUUAAACAUUUUUACGAUUUUUUUUUUAUUUACAGAAAAUACGGUAUUUUUUAUGUUGUAAUCUUGUUAAUUUGUUGUUGAUUUUUUGUUAUCUAUAUGUUAUUUUUUGUUGUUAUUUUGAUGUUAUUUUUAUGUUACUUUUAUGUAGUUUUCUUGUUGAUUUUAUGUUGUUUUCGUGUUAUUUUUUGGAAAACCGUAAAAAUAUAAAAAUACAUUUUUUGAACGUAAAAAUGUAAAUAUUUUAAAAAAAAUAGUGCCUUAUGUAAUUAUUCUAAUAAAAAAGGGAAACUUACAAAAAUAUUGGAAUUUGAGGUAACUUUUACAAAAAUACUGUCACACGGAAAAAUUUAUAAAAAUACUGUGUUUUUAUAAAACACCAGUAGAACACAAAACAGAACAACUCAAAACACCAGUAGAACAACUAAAAAACACCAGUAGAACACCAGUGAAAACUUAACACAGUAUACUGCAGUAUGAAACUUAUAAAAAACACAGUAAAAAAGUAAAAAAUACCACUUGACAGUAUUUUUGUAAAAAAAAUUACAAAAGUUAGUAUACCGUGUAAAUUUCCCAAAAAAUAGCAUAAACAUUGGGCCCCAUUAUCCAACGAGACAAGAAUGGACCAUCCUCAUGGCCCAGUCAAUUUUCCCGCUGGAGGGUAUUUUGGGAAGUUCAAGUCUCACAUAAAUACAACCUUGUUGGUUCUAACCCUAAUUUUCUGGUUCGUCUUCUUCUUCUUCUUCUUCAUUUUUUAAUUAAUUAAUUAUUAUCUUUUAUUAUUUUUUUUCUGGUUUUGUUUUGGGGCCCGAUGAUGGAAAAACUCAAAUCACAAUGAGCGGUAGCGUGGUUCUUGUUUUCACCAGCUUUAACUCGCCAUUGCCACCAUCUUUGGUAGCUACUGCUACUACUGCUGCUACUACUACUACUACUACUUCUUCUUCUUCUUCUUCUUCUUCUUCUUCAUACAUACAUACAUACAAUAUAUAUACACACACACACAUACAUGUUUAUUAAAGGUGGUUAGGUAGUGGCGUGUUAUGGCUUCUGAAGAACACCCAUUAGCUUCUUCCGCAGAUGAUUCUUCUCAAGUUAUGUGAUCUGAGGGCUUUUUUAUUAUAUUUUUAGUUCACAUUUUAUAAUUGCUUUAUAAUGUUGUUUGAUUUUUUUUUUCUUUUGCAAUUGCUUAUUUUGAACCAUUUUAUAGUGUCUAGAGUGAGAUGAUGAUGAAUGCAGUGGGCUCUGAGCAGUUGGUUGAUGGACAUGCAGCCCAGGAAGCUUCAUCUGAAUCCACUCUUAAUCUUAAAGCGAGUGUGGAGCUUCUGUUCAUUUUCAGGUUGAUGAAGAUGCAAUCUGGUUUGAAUGAGUAAGUUAUAUGCUUGUGUGUAAAAAAUCUCUGAUUUUGAUUUGACUUUGACCAGUUGUUUAUCCAAAAGAUCUGAGGGCUAUUUCCCAAAUGACUAAUAUAGUAGGUCUGUUUUGCUUUAUUUUUUUUUAAUUCCUUUACCUAAUGUGAUCCAUCUCAGUUUCUGUCUGUUGAUGAGAACUGUUAUUUAUUUAUUGAUAGUGCAUUGAUUUCUUGUUUGAGUCUUCAUCUUUCCUGUUCCCACCAUCCUCGAUGUACUCACCAUCUUCAUAAAUCCAAUUUUAUUGCUGCCAAAACAUUAUGAGCAUUAUGGCACCCUAUCUAAUAUUUUUAAACUGAAAUUGGUCCUAGUGCUCAUUAGACAUUCUUAAGCAUUACACAAUAUUUUUCUGUUAAUAGUCUGAUUUUCUUGUGUUAGUUGUAGUGGUAAUGAUCUGCGUUUGCUGUUGGUGGUGAUGAAUGCUGACGAUGGUGGUUGUAGCGUGGCGGUGUUCAAUACUUGAAGAUGUAGUUGGUUCUUAGUGCAUUUCAAAUAUUGAUCUCUAAAAGCAUUUAUCUGUUUAAAAUGUUGUCCUUAUAUUUUAUUGUGUUACUUUUUUAGUGUAGUUUACAAGUAAUUUCUUCCUUUGUUUUCUGCCCUGUGAUGGAAAAACUUAUUGUUGGAAACAAUUCCUUGGCUUUUCAUCAUCUGCUUCUACAUCUUUUUUGCCAGAUUCUCUCAUCAUCAUCAUCAUCAACAACAACAACAACUUCUCUUCUCUUUUCUUCUUCUUCUUCUUUUUAUCUCUCUCUCUCUCUCUCUCUCUCUCUCUCUCUCUCUCGGUUAUUGAAGAUGUAGUUAGCCUUGAUGAAAAGUCAAUGGCUUUAUUGUUAAUGAACUUUUAUAGCUAUGAGAUCUGAGGGCUUUGUAUUUUAUAUUUAAUAUUGUAAUUAGCCAUGUUUUGAUUCUGUUUGUUUUGUUUCAGACUGAGUUAUUAGUUUAAAUAAUUAAUCUUUUUGUGUCAUUGUUUUUUUGUUACAUAUUUUGUUGAAGAGUCCUAUUAUGAUAAAUUUUUACUGGAUAUAUAACAAAGACACAAGUGAACAGUAUUUUCUAAUCAAAGACUAGUAAUUGGCCAGAAGUUAUUUGUCUCUUGCUCUUUUUGUAAUUACAAGAUUGUAAUUUCAUCAGCCCAAUGAUGAAAAUAUUAGUAGUUUCAAAUCAAAUAAUUUCAUGAUUUUUCAUCAUUAACCUUUCCAUCAUUACUUGGUGACAAGUUCUGUUUUUUUUUUUUUUCUUUGCAUUCUCUCUCUCUCUCUCUCUCUCUCUCUCUCUCUCUAGUGGUUGUUGAUGAUGCAAACUGGUUUUAAUGAAAAUCACGGUUAUAUGCUUGAAAAUUCAAAAAAAUCUCUGCUUUAAAAUGACUUUGAAAAGUUGUUUUUAAGAGAACUGAGGGCUGUAUCACUAUCUAGUAUCUGUUCAGGGAUUUUUCUUCUUAAACUUUUUCAAAUAUUUAUAUAAUAUCCAUUAUAUUUUUCAUACGUUUAUUUGUUUCUGCCAAUGAUGAGAAUCUUCUUUUUGUAAUGAGACAUGCAUUGAUUUCUUUUUGAGCUCCCAUCUUUUCUGCUCGAGCAUUGCUUUAGGCACUAAUGUUGUCUGGCACCACCACCGCCUUGCAAUUAGAUAGCGAUAUUCCAUUAAAGCAUUAAAUUUUAUGGGGUUCUAUGCUUAAUUGCACCAAUAGCAUAUGACACGUUGGAAGGUAUCAAGUAACUUGAACCAGCUUGUAGAGAAUUCUUGCUUUCAUCUUUUUUGCUUCCUAAGUUGUGACCUUUUUUUGGCUGAUGAUGACAGUUUUAUGCAUGAGACAUCAGUUUGGUUUUAUCUCUCUGCUUCCACCAAAGCCGACAUUCAUUACAAGCCGUUGUUCCUUUUCUAUUUUGAUUGAUUUCAAGCACACUCAUAACAUUUAUCCUCUCUUAUUAUUGUUGUUGUUAACCUUUUAAAGAACAAUGUAGAGAAGCUGAUUCGAGUGCUCUUUAUGGUGGUUUUAGUGAAUGUUGAUGGCGUAGUGGUAAUGAACUUAACCCGUUCUGAAUGAUUUGAUUAGAUUAUUAUGCAGAGUUAGUGCUUUAUUUUCUAACAUCUACUCUCAUUGGUGUUUUUUUGCGCAAGAAUUCCAUUCUUUCCCAGUAACCUUUUUGAUAAUGUGAACCUUGGUUGUUAAUAUUAUCUUCUGUUUAUCUUGUGUAACUUAGCUUAUGUACUUGUUUAGUCUACAAUUUUGUAAUUUUUUGCAUUACUAUUAAGGUAGAUAAAGCUACGAUUUCUUUGUGUAAUUAUUUUCUUUGUUAUUUCUUUUUUAUUUCCAGAGUUUUCGAAGUAAUUUUGUUUGUAUAUAUUUUCAUAAUUUAGAAAUGGUAAAAAAUAUUUUAUGGUCAAUUAAUAUAGUAUAUAUAUUUUAUUGAGGAAAAGAGUUUAUUAAUAUUUUUAUCUCUAUUGAUCAAACUUUGUUUCUGCUUGAUAAUGAGAUGUUUGGACAUCUUAGUAUGCUUUCACCAUAUUCGGCUUCUUUGAGGUCAAAUUAUUAUAUUUAUUAUGAAUGUUGCAUUUAUACUAUGAUGAUGCAUAUGAUGUUCUACCCUUGCUGUGGAUAGUGGCCUACGUUCAUGAAAAUGUUGACUUGAAUCUACGUAUAUAGCUAUAAAAUUUAGAGAUUGACAAGAACUUGGGACUUUAUUUGUUGAGAUACUUGUGAAUGUGGUUUUAUAGGUUUGCCCUGUGAUGGGAAAACUCUAUUGUGGGAAACAGUUUCAUAGUUUUUCAUUAUGAGCCUUAUUACAUCUGUCCUUCUCUCUCUCUCUCUCUAUAUAUAUAUAUAUUUAUCUAUCUAUCUAUCUAUCUAUCUAUCCUCCCUUUUUAGGGCACUUCAUGGUGUCCUACAGCAAUGCUCUUAUGUCUAUAUAUAUAUUUCUCUCUCUCUCUUGUUGGGUGGGUUGAACGGUUGUAGUAAGGCUGAUUUGAAAAUUCUUGUGUUAUACUGUUUUUGACCAGAUUAAUUAGCUAUGAGAUCUGAGGGCUUUCCUUAGGCUGAUUAUAUUUACUCAUUGUAAUAUUCAAGUUUGUUUUUCCAUUUUAUUUUAUAAUUAUGUUUUGGUUGUCUCACUAGCUGAUCAGUAUGUUUACUCUGCAGUAUGUUUUGUUGUGCAUUCAUUUUAUUGUGAGUUUAAUCUGCUUGCAUUGUAUUCUUGUUUAUAUGUGGUUGUCUUUGUUGACUUCCUUGCUUGCUAUAUUAGCUGCCAAUUUAUAUAUAUAAUAUUUUCAAUUCCUGAUGAUGACAUUUUUAUUUUCUCUGCCGUAAGCCACAGAACACUUUAUUAUAUUGUUCUUGUUGCUUAUGUUGGUCUUGAAUGAUGUUGAUGUGCAUUGUAAAAUUUAAAUGAUUACUGCAUUGUAAAGUGGUUGCAGCGAAUAUCGGUUGGUGGUUGUAAUGGAGAUGAGGGAUAUCAAGUGAAAACUUUUGUAGUAACAAUCAAACUUCAAUAUAAAUUACAUGUUAGAUUUUAAUUAAACGACUUACUGAAUUACAGCUGAGUUGUUUUAAAGAACCACACUAGAAAAGUUAAACAUUAUUUUAUUGAAUUUUGCCCUUCAGCUGUGGAUGAUCCAUCUUCUUAGUUGCAUCCACGCUGAUGUAACUACGAUGAAGCAUCAUUCCCAACUAAAAGCAUUCAUUAACUUUUAUUUUUUCUAAUGUUAGUCUUUUGUGGUUGAGAGGAUGGCCUGCAUUAAUUUAUUUUUUAAAAAAUAUAUUUUGUGGUUUAUAUUGUCGGUGUUGUUGUUGUUGAUUUUUAUUGGUUUUGUUUAUUCAUGGUAUUUCUAGGUUUCUGAGGUUAUGUUUAUAUUUUUGAGAUGGUUUUAUUUUUUAUUGUUUCAUUUUUAUUGGUUGGAUGUGUGUUUAUCUAUGCAAUAUAUUUUGCUUUGGAAAAUAAUAAUAUGUUAUCAUGUUUUUUUUCGCACUUACAUGUUUUUUGGCCCUAUUUUGGAAUGGAAAAUUUCAUUUUGGGAAGCAGUUACGUCGUAUUGCAUUGUAAGCCUUGUUACAUCUGUAACUCUCUAAAUAUGAAUAUGUUGGUCCCAACAUUGUUACUGUAGUGGUUUUACUUUAUAUAUGUUGUUGAACUAAUCUCAAUCUGUGUAUAGAGCUAUAGUAAGUGGGAGGUGGUUUUAAAUAUACGUUCAUGAUAUUUUUCUGAUUAAACUUUCCACCUAUUGUGGUAUUUUUUAACGUUGGAAACAUCUUGAUGUGUUUCUUUUUUUAAUGAAAUUCAUUAAAAAAAGGCUUCGAUAUUUUUAUGAUAAAAGUUUCCCCCCAUCUUGGUAUUUUUUAACGUUGGAAACAUCUGGAUGUGUUUCUUUUUUAACGAAAUUCAUGAAAAAUGGCUUUGUUUUUUCUUGGUAAAGAUCGAGUUCGUCAAAUAAGAUGAUUCAUUGUUAAGAAAAGUUGUUUUUUUUUGGUUUCAUUUGCUUUAUAUGUAUUUUGCCCUGUGAUGUAUAAAUUCAUUUUGGGAAGCAGUUUCAGGUUUUGCAUAAUGAGCUUUGUUACUUCUGUCCCCUCCCUCUCUCCCUCUCUCUCUCUCUCUCUCUCUCUCUCUCUCUCUCAUUUUGAUAGCCACAUUUAACAGCACUCCCAUCCGGUUUUGCCUAUUAGCAUUCCUCAUAUCCAUAUACAUAUAUAUAUUUAUUAUCUCUCUCUCUCUGGGUGGCUGGAUGGUAUAGCAAGGCUCGUAAUGAAAAAUUCCCAUAUUCUGUUUUAAUGACCAUAUUAGCUAUGAGAUCUGAGGGCGUUAGUUGAUGGAUGAUAUACGUUCUUUAAUGUUAAGAGUUACCCUAUCAAUUUCUUUUGUGUGUUCCUACCAUCAUUGAUUCUCACUGUAGGUUGCUGCUUCAUUGAUGAUAUGCAUCUUAAGGUGUAGCAUUGACUUGGGUGGUGGUUGUAGUGUAUUGGUGUUAAGCCAUUAGGAUUUUUGGAACUCCAUGGAUUGAUUGUGUAAACUCCAUUUGAGGGAUUCCUCAACAAGUUGUGUAUAGCUUGGUUAAGAAGUAAAAGGUGUUUUAAGUAAUUCCACUGUUUUUUUAUCACGUUCGAGACAUCUUGAUACAUUACCUUUCUUUUAAAAAGUCAGGUUUCUAAGAUGGCUUGAAAAGUUUUUUCCUAAAAGAUUUGAAGGCUGCAUAUAGUUUAUAAUAUUGUUUGUGUUUUUUGCCUUGUGAUGGAAAAACUCUCUGUGGGAAACUGUUUCAUGGUUUUGCAUCAUGAGUCUUUUAUACAUGUCCUCUCUCUCUCUCUCUCUCUCUCUCUCUCUCUCUCUCUCUCUCUCUCUCUCUCUCUUUGUAAGAAUGCUUCGAAUGGCUUCUCUACUCUAAAAGCAUCUCCAAUGGACAUAUAUAUAUUUCUCUCUCUCUCUCUCUCUCUCUCUCAUAGGGUGGUUGGACAGUGUAGGAAGGCUCUUUAUGAAAAUUUUCAUGUUUUACUGUUGAUGACCUGAUUAGCUAUGAGAUCUGAGGGCUUUGUUGAUGAUCAUAUACUCAUUUGAAUGGUCAUGAUUUAUUUUUCUUGACAAUAUUCUUUUGUUGUAUGACACUAGUUAAUCAGAUGUGUUACAGAAGAACUUGAUUUGAAUUAUAUUCUUUUUUAUAGGAUCUAGAAGCUUCUUAACUGUAGCUUUCGCUUUUGUAUUUGUCAGCUACUUUGCAGGAGUUAAUUGGUGUGCAUUUCGGGUCAUGUUAAUAUUAGCUGCUCAAAUGUUUGUCAAAUCCUUUUCUUUUUUAAACCUUGACAUUUUGUUGCAAUCAGCUAUAUUUACUGCUCCCACCAUUAUCAUCAUAAGCCACCAGUGCCCCAUUUGUUUGAUGUUUUGGUACAUACUAAUGUGUAUGUCAUCACCCUCAUUACUGUUGUUGGUAAUGACUAAUGAUGAUGAUCUCCAUCUUCAGGUGGUUUUAUUGUAUACCUAGCACUGGUGAUAAGCAUCAAGUUGAUGUGGUGGAAGAUUUUUGCAAUAAGAUCUGUAGGGCCUUUACAUUUUAAAGAUUAUCUAUAGGGCCUCUAACACUAAACUCAUUUGGAGACAAAAUGGUUUUAAUUAAAAAUUGAUGGUUAAUUUUUUAUGCUAGUCUAUAAUAUAGUUAAUAGUUAUUGAUUCAUAUGAGCCAUAAGAGCUAUGAGCUAUCUUUGUUAGUUAUAUAUUAAAACCAUUGCCCGAUGAUGAGGAAUUUUUUACCUUAUUGAUGUGUGCAUUGGUUCCUUUUUAGCCUCCAUCUUUUCUGCUCCCACCAUCUUUGGUACACACCAUCUCUAAAAGGUGCUUUUGCCGCAAAUAUCCCUUAUUAUUAUUACUAUUAUUAUUAUUAUUAUUAUUAUUAUUAUGUGGUGGUGGUGGUGGUGACGACGACGAUGAUUAUGAUGAUUCUUGUGUCUAUUGGAUGUGGUGAAUGCCAAUAAUGGUGGUUGAAGUAGUGGUGUUUAAACCUUGAAGAUGUGAUUGGUUUUCCAUGUACAUGAUAUCUCUAGUUCUUCUCUGAGGGCAUAUUUAUGUAUUGCGAUGGUUUCUUUUAUAUAUUUAUGGGACUUUUUUAUGGAGUCAAAUUUCAUUACUACUGUUUUUUAGUACAGUACAUGUUUUUUUGCCCUGUCAUGGAAAAUUUCAUUUGAGAUGCUUAUUUCUUUGUUUUGCAUUGUAACCGUUUACAUCUGUAACACUCUCUCUCUCUCCACAUAAUAUUUAAACCAUUGUAAGUGCUCUUGUGGCUUUGAAUGAAAAUUCUUUGGUAUAACUGUUUACUGGUAUUACUGGUAUGCUAUACUCUUCUUAUGAUGUAAAAGUUGUUUGCAUUUUGCUCCACUAAAAUAUCAAGCAUAGGCAAUGGCAACACUUUAUUUUUGUGAACUGAAAAUAGCUACUCUGUGAUGGGUUUUUUUUUUUUUAAUAUUCUAGUCAGCUUCUUGUAAAUUUGUAAUCUCAGCUUAUCCAAUUAGCUACGAGAUCUGAGGGCUCUCUUUGAUUUGGCAAAUAUUCAUAUUUGUUUGUAGAUGUUAUUUUAUAAUGAUACUACCUGUUAAACACAUCGGUUAUUGAAGUCUGUAAUUGGCAUAUUUCUAAUGGCUUUAGUAUUUAUUGUCUUAGUUACAUCAAAGUAGGUAAAUGCCUGUCAUGGUUUUAAAUUUGAUUAUGUAAAUGCCUGAUGAUGACAUUUUGUUUCAAUGAGUUUGUGUAUUUGAUAUUCCAUCUUUCUGCUCCUGCUAUUGCAGAUAUUCACCAUAUUCCACCAGACGUCCUGUGUAUGAUGUUUGCGUACAUAUGUGUGCGGAUAUCAUUACUCAUCAAUGUUAUUAUUUUUAUUGUUGUUGUUGUUGUUGUUGUGUUUGUUUUUCUUCUUCUUCUUCUUCUUCUUCUUCUUCUUCUUUUUCAUAAGAUGGAUGCUGUGAAUGAAUGUCUGUGGUGGUGGUUGUAGUGGUUUGGUGUAGAGUCAUCUGGAAGAUGUGAUUGAAAAUAAAUGAGAUCUGAGGGCUCUGAUAUUGUUUUCUUUUUUGGUGUUUUUUCUUUUAGUUCCCUCAUGUUAUUGUAAACUAACCCAUAAAAUAACCAGUUUAUUCUAUUUUGGCUUUCUUUCCAUGUUUCGUAUUUUCAUUUUUUUCUUCUGUUUUGAACAUCUCUUGACUUCUCUGAAUUUCAACUUUCUAUUUCUUACAAAAUUGUGUUGUAUAUGCUAGUUGUUUUGGGAAUAUGGUUAACUUUGCUUAUGAUAUGUUGGCACCAUAGAGUUGACUUAUAUUUUUUUUGGGUUAGUAAAAGUUUGUUUGUGCUUUAUGAUGGGAACUCCUUUAAUGCUUUGAUGUCAUUUUGAGCCUUCAUCUUUUCUGAUCCCAGAAAUGUCUGUUCACACCAGCAUGCAGUGUUUAUCACAGUAAAACAUCUAUAAAUUAAGAACUUUGUUACUUUGCAGGGUACUUUAUUCAUCAUUUGACUCAAACUUUUAUGUGCCUGAUGAUGACAUUGUGUUGCAAUGAGUUUUAAUUUGGAUCGUCCAUCUUUCUGCCAUCAUUGAUAUUCACCAUACGCCUCCAAUUGUUGGGAAGCAGUUUUGUGGUAAUGCAUUAGCCUUAUUACAUCUGCGACUCUCUCUCUCUAAAUAUUUAUAUGUUGGUCUCAACAUUGUUACUAUAUAAUAUAUAGAGGUUUUCCUCUAUAUAUUGUACUAAACAUCUUGAUGUGUUUCUUUAAAUGAAAAUACAUAAUUACUUAAACUAAACCUUUUUAUUUUAAAGAUCUGAGUUUUUCUCAUUAUAUGUUUUUUGCCCUGUGAUGGAAAAACUCAUUUUGGGAAAAGCAGUUUCAUGGUUUUUCAUAAUGAGCUUUGGUAAUUCUGCCCCCUCUCUUUCCCUCUCUCUAGUUGUGAUAGCUACAUUUUAGAGCACUCACAACAUUUUCUCUGCUCUUAUUUCAUAUAUAUACAAAAAUAAUUAUUUCUCUCUCAUAUGGUGGAUGGAUGGUACAGCAAGGCUCAUAAAUUAAUGAAAAAUUCCCAUGUCAUUCUGUUUUAAUGACAUGAUUAGCAAUGAGAUCUGAGGGCUUUAGUAGAUGAAUAAUAUAUUCUUUGAUAUUAGUGUUACCCCCUUAUUUUAUUUUGUAUUCUUUUUUUGGUUGCCUCACCAGUUAAUCAAAGGUGAUAUUCUAGAAACCUAAGCUUUGAGUACCUUUUUUGAGGACAUCUAAUGAUUAUCAUUCUUAUUAUUUGCUAGAAUUUUUCAACUUCAGCUUGGCUUCUGCCCGCUCAUUGUUUCUUUGAUCCACAUUUUGACGAUUUUAUUUUAGUGAAUUUAAUUAAUUGUGUUGCAUUCUUCUUUAUAUUUGGUUGUGCUUUUGUUCUGCUACUACCAUCAUUGAUGCUCACUGUAAGCUAGCAAUACCAUGUAGUUUAUUGUUGCUGCUGCUGCUACUGCUGUUGUUGAUAAUCUGCAGCUUACAGUUGUACCGGUGUCAGUGUUGGUUGUUAUUGUGGUAUCGGUGUUGAGUUGUUUCGGUUGAAAUAAACUCAAUAAGUAUAUAGCUUAAGAAGUGGAAGUUUUUUUAUCACCUUUGAUGUUAAAGGUUGAAACAUCUUUGAUACGGUACGUUUCUUUUGGGCUGCAUAUAGUUGAUGAUAUUGUUUCUGUUUUUUGCCCUGUGAUGGAAAAACUCACUGUGGGAAACAGUUUCAUGGUUUUGCAUCAUGAGUCUUGUUGCAUCUGUCCUCUCUCUCUUUCUCUUUCUCUCUCUCUUUCUCUAAGGUGCUGUUUAGCAGUGUACCCAUAUAAAUAUAUAUAUAUAUAUUCUCUCUCUCUCUCUCUCUCUCUCACAGAGGGUGGCUGGACAAUGUAGCAAGGCUCAUAAUGAAAUUUUUCAUGUUUUACUGUUAAUGACCUUAUUAGCUAUGAGAUCUGAGGGCUGUGUUGAAUGAUAAUAUAAUCUUUUUUAUGUUUUAAGAUUUAUUUUCCAUGUUAUUUUACCAUGUUCUUUUGUUGUCUCACACUAGUCAAUCAGAUGUGUUAUUGAAGAACUUGAGUUGAAUAAUAUUCAUAGUUUCUACAAUUUUGUUAACAGUAGCUUUUGGUUUUGUAUUUGAUUGUUGAAGUUAAUUGGUUUGCAUUCCAGCUUAUAUGGACUGCCCAAAUAUUUGUCAAAUGCUUUUUUUUACCUCACAUCUUGCUGCAAUCAGCCAUAUUUACUGCUCCCACCAUCAUCAGUAUCACCAUAUGCCACCAGUGCCCCAUCUAUGUGAUGUUUUGGUACAUAUUUAUGUGUAUAUAUCUCUAGCCUCAUUGCUUUUGUUGGUAAUGAUGAUGAUCUCCAUCUUCAGGUUGUUGUGGUAAGCAUCUAGAUAUUGUAGUGGGAGAUUUAACACUAUACUCCUUUGGAGACAAACUGGUUUUAAUGAAAUUCAUGUUUAUCUUUAUAUGCUUGUGUAUAAGAUAGUCAAUAUUUGAUGUUCUUUCUCAUCAUUUUUCUUAAAAUAUUUUUGUGAUUGUUGUUAUUUCAUUUAAAUUUGUUGUUAUUUUUGUGGUUGCCUGAUGAUGAGAACCUUUUUAUUGUAUUGAUGUGUGCAUUGAUUUCAUUUUAGCCUCCAUCUUUUCUGCUCCCACCAUCUUUGGUACACACCGCCAUCUCUAAAAGGUACUUUGUGUAAAUAUCCCUGAUUAUUAUUAUUAUUAUUUUCUCAUGUGGUGGAGGUGGUGGCGGUGACAAUGAUGAUGAUGCUGAUGAUGAUUCUUGUGUCUGUUGGAUGUGGUGAAUGCCAAUGAUGGUGGUUGAAGUGGUGGUGUUUAAACCUUGAAGAUGUGAUUGGUUUUCAAUGUACAUGAUGAUAUCUCUAGUUCUUCUUCUCUGAGGGCAUAUUUAUGUGUUGGGAUAGUUCUUUUAUAUAGCUAUGGGGUAUUUAUACUAAGUCAAAUUUCAUUACAUGUUUUACAUAGUCAAAUUUCAUUACAUGUUUUACAUGUUUUUUAGUACAUUAUUGCUAAAGGUUUUACUCUUUUGGAUAUUAAAGUCUUAUAUUUUGUUUUACAAUGCUCUUUUACUGUGACAAGUAUCUAUUUGUUAGAUUGUAUAAUCACAUUCUUCUCAAGAAGUUGUUUAUUAUAGACGGUUUCAAUGUCC